rnacentral:rRNA from 1 species
CUCUCGGGGUUACAGCCUUGCUGAAUUAUUCACCCUUGUCUUUUGCGUACUUCUUGUUUCCUUGGUGGGUUCGCCCACCACUAGGACAAACAUAAACCUUUUGUAAUUGCAAUCAGCGUCAGUAACAAAUUAAUAAUUACAACUUUCAACAACGGAUCUCUUGGUUCUGGCAUCGAUGAAGAACGCAGCGAAAUGCGAUAAGUAGUGUGAAUUGCAGAAUUCAGUGAAUCAUCGAAUCUUUGAACGCACAUUGCGCCCUUUGGUAUUCCAAAGGGCAUGCCUGUUCGAGCGUCAUUUGUACCCUCAAGCUUUGCUUGGUGUUGGGCGUCUUGUCUCUAGCUUUGCUGGAGACUCGCCUUAAAGUAAUUGGCAGCCGGCCUACUGGUUUCGGAGCGCAGCACAAGUCGCACUCUCUAUCAGCAAAGGUCUAGCAUCCAUUAAGCCUUUUUUCAACUUUUGACCUCGGAUCAGGUAGGGAUACCCGCUGAACUUAAGCAUACGAAAGGGGGAGAGAGAAAAAUAUUCCCAUUGGAGGGCGGGCUGGAAUCUCUGGGGUUACAGCCUGCUGAAAUAUUCACCCUUGUCUGUUGCGUACUCUCGUUUCCUGGUGGGUUCGCCACCACUAGGACAAACAUAAACCUUUGUAAUUGCAAUCAGCGUCGUACAAUUAAUAAUUACACUGUCACAACGGACUUGGGUCUGCAUCGAUAAGACGCACGAUGCGAUAGUAGUGUGAAUUGCAAAUCAUGAAUCACGAACUUGACGCACAUGCGCCUUGGUAUUCAAGGGCAGCUGUUC